GUGUUCGUUUUGGCAGCACAUACACUAAAACUGGAACUAUACUGAGAAGAAUUGCAUGGCCCCUGCACAAGGAUGACACACAAAUGCCUUCUGUCUAAGGAUGAUCAU